AUACAUACAUACAUAUACAUUCAUUGAUGUUUACUUUGACCCAUUUACGUACGUGUGCACAUAUACUUGUACCUGCGAAUAGAUAUACGUAUACAUGUGAAUGUAUUUUGAUGCACAUAUAUGUGUAUGCCAUGACCCCCGCUGUCGGUGCAUAAAGAGAAUCCACCAUGAGCCAAAUAAAAAGGGCGGGAGGAGUGCUUUAGGAAAACAGAUGACAGAGAAGAAUAAUGUAAACCUGCGAGAACUGAAACGGGACGCCACUGGUGCUUUGCAUGCACGCGGGUACAUCCAAGCAAGCAAGCAUGUGUCUGAGUUGGGUAUGCCUUCGCCGAGAGGGAGAGGGAGGGAGAGAGAGAGAGCGAGAGAGGGCGAGAAGGUGUGUAAAUGCCACGGCUCCAACAUGUGCCGAGGAUCUGCCCCUCCGCAGUGUGCACGUGCGACCUGUGGAGUGCGGGUGUUCGCUCCCAGACGACUCAGUUAAUUAAUACAACGUUAUGUGUAUGUGCGCGCUUGUUCGCGAGUGUAAAUUGCUAAAACAGGUGUGGUAACAAGUGUAACAAGUGACCUUGUUCUCGCUCAUUAAACAGUGUGACGUGCAACUAUUUAUUUCAAUUUGUGCGAUGGGGCUUCCCCUCGGAUCUCAUUAUUCCCCUCCCCCCUCCUUCCCUCGGCCUUCUCCCUCGACAGUGUCAGGUAAGGAGAUCAAUAGUAAACUGAACUGAUUUGAAUGGAUUUACUGGAAUGA
rnacentral:misc_RNA from 1 species